AGAAGCUGCCAUACCAUUUUCCAGAGUGGCUGACUGUACCAUUGACAUUCCCACCAGCAACAUGGAAGAGAUUCCUCAUCUGAAUUCCCCUCUGGUCGGUCAUCCCUAAAUAAAGAAUUGAUUGAAUCAACGUAUCACCUUUUGCUAAGAACUCAGCCCUGGGAUCACAAGUGUCUAAAGACACUUCCAUGAGAAUUAAUAU